UGUGCCUCUUGAAUAACCAAUUGCUGUGUUAGUGUAUUUGCAUUUGGUUCAGGCAAGGGCACAUAACAAAUGGGAUCUUUUUGAGGGAAGGAAUCUUGUUCUUUGUUGAUCCCUUCUUAGAUUGAUUCCAAGAGUU
rnacentral:snoRNA from 1 species